GCUGAGCAGCUCCUGCCUCUUGCAGGAGCUUUGGGAACAGUGCCUGGGUAUCCUCCUGCCCUCACCCAGAGAAGCCACUGCAGGGGUCGGGGGCAGGGCACUGAGACCAAGACAGAGGACACCACUCAGAGAUGCCAAGACAACUGAACUGUGGACCUGGGGGGGCUGAGAAGGAAAUGCUAACCUUGUGAGUCUGCACACCCCUCCCUGUCUAGCAAUGAAGCCCCGUGCUCUCGCAGAACUCUCUGAGGAUGCUCUAGUUCCGUUAUCUCUUAGAGAGAGGAGCGCGCACACCGCACGGGGUCAUUCUCCACUGAGGGUGCCGCUGUGCUCAGGCAGUUCAGGGAAUAAGUAAAUGCUGUUCUCUGCUCUCAGCAGAUGCCCCUGGUGGGAAAGAAGUGAGCUUCAAAUUUCCACUUCACAUCCUCCUAGAGCACAAAGAGUUAAUGGAGCACACAUUAAAGCCCCCUCGCAAUCCCUGCUCUCCCCACCAGCCGCCCCGCAGCUGUCAG